rnacentral:lncRNA from 1 species
CUCUGCUUGCUCACUGGGGUAUUUCAUGGCACUGUCAUCCAUUGGUUCGGAACGGUUUGUACACUCUUAAAAAUAAAGAAUCCAAAGGGGGUUUCGCAGCAAUGAAAUUCAGGAACCAUUUUGUGUUCCCUAAAGAACCUUUCAUGGAACAGUUCUGAAAAUAACUUUUUUUCUUAAUCUUCUUCUUCUUAGUGUGAAGAACUACACUCUUAAAAAUAAAGGUUCAAAAGUAGGUUUUCACAGCAAUGUGAUAAAAGAACCAUUUCUGAUUUAUUCAAAGAACCUUUCAGUGAACAGUUUUUUAAGGAACCCUUUUUUUUUUCUUAGUUUGAAGAACAUUUCAAGAUUCUAAAGAACAUUUUUUCCACUUUUUAAGAGUGUACUGUAAUCUAUCAAUCAGUGCUAUCAAUCAAAAUUAGAAUUUAACUGAGCGUGUCAAUAAGGGAACACUUUUCUCUUUGUGUCUUAAAGGGUCAUAUGAUGUGAUUUCAAAUGUUCCUUUCUCUUUUUAGUGUUACAAGGUCUUGGUGAAUAAAGAAGAUCUGUGAAGUUGCAAAGAUUAAAGUCUCAAAUCCAAAGAGAUAUUCUAUAUAAAAGUUGAGACUCCUCCACGCCCCCCUGAAACGGCUCGUUCUAACAGCCCCCACAUAUAUACUUCACUGUGGGAAGAUUUGCAUAACACCGCCCAGAUGUUCACGCAAAGAAAGAAGGCAUACCUUUUAUUCUCGUUGUAGUAUUGUUGUUGCCGCCACUGCCAUUUUGUAUAGACGCUGUGUGUUUCACUGUGAAAGCGAAACUACUUUGUUUGGCCUUCCAAAAGAGGAUGAUAUCCACUUCCGUGCUGGUCACUGAGGAAAUACAUCAACUUUGCACUGUGGAUCGCAGAAUUGGCUUUCAUCGUGGACGAAGCGGCGUCCAGCCCGGGGUCGUCACAUGUGGUUGCUGCAAGACCAAGCAUACAGAAAAGCAUAUGUACAUAUUGGACACUUCAGUGGCCUCUUCAAAAAGUGCAAGAGAGAUGACUGACACCAGGUUUAACCAGUUCCAGAGCCAUGAGAAUGUAUCAAUGGUUUUUCAAGCCGCUUCUCACACCAAUGUAAAGCUGACCUGCUCAGGUGACUGAAAACUGCAAACCUUGUAUCACCCCAGCAGUUCCAGAGGGUCCUGAUGAAGACAGCGAUGAUGACGAGCGAUAAAGUGGGGUGUUUAGAGACUGGGAGGAGGCUGAAAGACUUCCUGCUGAAUCCAGCAUUUCUAAAUCAACUUCCUGUUUAGGAAAUGAGUAACACUGUUCUACUUUAAACAUAAAGACACAUACUUAACAAUUGCUGAAUUAAAAUUGUAUUUAUUUUACAUAAUAUUUACUAAAUAAGAAAUAAUUGUAAUAAUAAAAAAAUCUGUAAAAAUAAACUUCUUUUAAAAAAUUAUUUUAUGCAGUCUCCAAACGGUCACUGCUGAAUUCACAAAGUUUGCAAGGUUUGUAAAAAUAAAUGUGCAUUAGAUAUUAUUAAAGACUUUAAAUGAUAAAAAUGCACAUUUGCUGAAUGCUUACAUUUAAAAAAAAAAUGAUGUCAUAAUUUCUGUAUACCAUUUACUUUCUUUUUUUUUAACAGUUCUGUCUAAUAAUUUAUUGUUAAACAGAAAGAUUAAAAUACUAACUAACAUUCUGUCAAAAUGAAAGUUAUGUGCACUGUCAAAAUAAAAGUUUGACAGUGCACAUAACGCUUUCAACAUAAUGGCCUAUGCCAGUCAUUAAACAAAAUACCAAACACUGGCCAAUAUAUUGACCAACCACUAAAGAAUUUUACAUAGAUUUAGUGCUGGUGCAAGAUUUGAGAUGAAAUUAGUGUAUCACUUGCAUGAAAUCUACUGAUUGGUGGCCACUCACAGAGAUGAUCUGCCUCUUUAAAUUGGGCGUACUAUUGAGGGAGGAGCUUAGGGCAUUCUCAAUCUCUUUGUCCAGCUGAUCCAACUUCAUUAUUAACAGAACCAUGGAGUCCAAACGUGACCUUUCCUUCUCCCUCUCCUCCCGUGAGCUCUGAAAUGAGAAAAACAGAUUUUCGUAUCAUCAGAUUUUAUUCAAGAAAUGUAACCUUAAAACCAACACUGACAUUAAUCUGAUCAGUCCCAAUGACAAUUCUUUAAACAUAUGUCACAGCAGACCAAAUCAGUUUUGCUCAUAAGUGCUAUAGUAGUCUGCUACUACUCAUUUGUUUCUGCUGUUAAACAGACCUUUGUGAACUUUGUUCACACUUUCACAAAUAAAAGCAUUCUGUCCAUCUUUUCCUUGGCACUUUAAGUGUUAUUUGCCAUGUGCUUCUGAAAUGUGGAGUCAAGCAUGUAAUGGGUAAUCAAAUGGAAAACUUUUACGCUCACAUCAGAACACAAACUCACACAAGAUCUCACUCACAUCCACAGACAUCCAGACAUGUACAUGCACCAGAGGGAAGGAUCAUAAGGAAUGCUUCUUCAAGGAAUGGUGUGUUUAGCUAGUGGAAGCUGGCAGACAGUAAAGGCUGUUAUUAUCAUGUUCCAGUCAGUUUUAGCCACUCAGAGAGAAAAGAAAAUAGAGAGAGAGGAUGAGAGCGAGAGAGUCUCUCCUCAAUAACUUUAAAUUAGGUCACUGGAACCACAGCACACUCUAAUUUACUGUUUACAUUGUCAUUCAGCAUACAGAAAAGCAUAUGUACAUAUUGGACACUUCAGUGGCCUCUUCAAAAAGUGCAAGAGAGAUGACUGACACCAGGUUUAACCAGUUCCAGAGCCAUGAGAAUGUAUCAAUGGUUUUUCAAGCCGCUUCUCACACCAAUGUAAAGCUGACCUGCUCAGGUGACUGAAAACUGCAAACCUUGUAUCAGUAAGUUAUCAGUAUUUGAUUUGGUCAUUUGUUCAACAACAAUUCCAAUUGUAGGUUUUGGUUUACUAACCUCAUUUUUUGGCCUAGCCCCAG